GCCAGUGUGGCAUAGUGCUUUGAGUGUUGGACUAUGAUUUUGGAGACCAGGAUUCAAUUCCCAGCUCAGCCA
rnacentral:tRNA from 1 species